GGCGGAGCGAGGCCUGGGUAGGGUGAGCGGCCUCCGAAGCGGAGCGGGGCUCUGAGGAGACACUUUUUCUUCCUCCCUCCUUCCCUCCUCUCCUCCUGCCUUCCCUUCCCCUUUCCUCCCCUCUCUCCUCCUUCUCCCCUCGGUCAGCCGGAGCCUGCUGGGGCGAGCGGUUGGUAUUGCAGGCGCUUACUCUCCGGGGCCGCCCGGCGAGUAGCUGGCCGGGGAAGGAGGCAGGAACCGCGAUGGCGCCUCAGAAGCACGGCGGUGGGGGAGGGGGCGGCUCGGGGCCCAGCGCGGGGUCCGGGGGAGGCGGCUUCGGGGGUUCGGCGGCGACGGCUUCGAGCGGCAAAUCCGGCGGCGGGGGCUGUGGAGGCGGUGGCAGUUACUCGGCCUCCUCCUCCUCCGCGGCGUUACCGGUGAAGAAGUCGAAAAUGGAGCACGUCCAGGCUGACCACGAGCUUUUCCUCCAGGCCUUUGAGAAGCCAACACAGAUCUAUAGAUUUCUUUGAACUCGGAAUCUCAUAGCACCAAUAUUUUUGCACAGAACUCUUACUUACAUGUCUCAUCGAAACUCCAGAACAAACAUCAAAAGCUUGUCAGCUCAUUUGCAGCUUACAUUUUUGGUUUCUUCCACAAAAAUGAUAAGCCAUCACCAAACUCAGAAAAUGAACAAAAUUCUGUUACCCUGGAAGUCCUGCUUGUGAAAGUUUGCCACAAAAAAAGAAAGGAUGUAUGUUGUCCAAUAAGGCAAGUUCCCACAGGUAAAAAGCAGGUGCCUUUGAAUCCUGACCUCAAUCAAACAAAACCUGGAAAUUUCCCGUCCCUUGCAGUUUCCAGUAAUGAAUUUGAACCUAGUAACAGCCACAUGGUGAAGUCUUACUCGUUGCUAUUUAGAGUGACUCGUCCAAGAAGAAGAGAGUUUAAUGGAAUGAUUAAUGGAGAAACCAUGAAAAUAUUGGUAAUUUUUUUUUUUACUAGAUUUUAU
rnacentral:lncRNA from 1 species